UACGUAGGGUGCAAGCGUUAAUCGGAAUUACUGGGCGUAAAGCGUGCGCAGGCGGCUUUGCAAGACAGAUGUGAAAUCCCCGGGCUUAACCUGGGAACUGCAUUUGUGACUGCAUGGCUGGAGUGCGGCAGAGGGGGAUGGAAUUCCGCGUGUAGCAGUGAAAUGCGUAGAUAUGCGGAGGAACACCGAUGGCGAAGGCAAUCCCCUGGGACCUGUACUG
rnacentral:rRNA from 1 species